GGAGGUUGGGCCCUCCGCGAUCGCCCGCGCAGGGGGAGGUCGCAAACCACCGCGAACUGCUGCGGUAAAGAGCCGUGGUGGUGAGCUCGCGGAAAAGGCGCCCGGUGAGGUGUCAGGU
rfam:Micromonospora sp. CB01531 scaffold94, whole genome shotgun sequence.